UCCAGUUUAUCCUGCUGGAGGCUGCAGCUAUUUGGUUUGGGCUUAGACAUGCAAGUUUUUUGCCGUCGUAAGAUAGGUAAAGGCAAACUGCUCAGUAACACGUAGCUAAUCUGCCCUUAGGUCAGGAAUAACCUCGGGAAACUGAGGCUAAAAUCUGAUAGGAGUUUUUCUCUGGAAGGAAUUUACUCUGAAACUCGAGCCUAAGGAUGAGGCUGCGGUCGAUUAGCUUGUUGGUGGGGUAACUGCCUACCAAGGCGAUGAUCGAUAGGGGCUCUUAGCGGAGUCGCCCCGAGAAGGAAUCUGAGACACUAUUCCUAGCUCUACGGAGUGCAGCAGUCGCGAAUCUUUUACAAUGCACAGAAGUGUGAUAAAGCGAACCAAAGUGCUUUUCGCACAGAAAAGCUUUUGUUCAUUUUAAAUCAAUGGACGAAUAAGGACUGGGUAAGACAGGUGCCAGCCGCCGCGGUAAUACCUGCGGUCCAAGUUGCAGCCAGCAUUAUUGGGUCUAAAACAUCCGUAGCUUGUUUAUUAAGUUUCUUGUGAAAUUUGGCGUCUCAAGCGUCAAGCGUGCAAGAAAUACUGAUAGGCUAGAGACCGGUAGAUGUAAGGAGUACGCCCGAGGUAAUGGUUAAAUAUGUUAAUCUUGGGUGGACUAACAAUUGGCGAAGGCACCUUACAAGGACGGAUCUGACAGUGAGGGAUGAAGGCUAGGGGCGCAAAAGGGAUUAGAUACCCCUGUAGUCCUAGCAGUAAACACUGCUCACUAAACAUCGGGCCCUCUUCGGGAGGAUUCGGUGCUGAAGCGAAGGCGAAGAGUGAGCUACCUGGGAAGUAUAGUCGCAAGAUCGAAACUUAAAGGAAUUGGCGGGGAGACACUACAACGAGUGACGCGUGCGGUUCAAUUAGAUUCUACACCGUGAACCUCACCAGGAGCGACAGCAGGAUGAAGGUCAGUCUAAAGGGCUUACCUAACACGCUGAGCGGAGAUGCAUGGCCGACGUCAGCCUGUGCUGUGAAGUGACCUGUUAAAUCAGGUAACAGGCGAGACCCGUGUCUAUAAUUACUACUGAAAAGAGUACAUUAUAGAGACUGCCUUGGUAACAAGGAGGAAGGUGCGGGCUACGUCAGGUGAGUACAUCCUUAAUCCCCUGGGCUACACGCGCGCGGCAAUGGCAAAUUCAAUGAGAUGCAAUACCGAGAGGUAAAGCUAAUCCCCUAAUAUUUGUCUCAGUACAGAUUGAGGGCUGCAACCCGCCCUCAUGACGCUGGAAUUCGUAGUAAUCGUUCAUUAGCAGUGAACGGUGAAUAUGUCCCUGUCUCUUGCACACACCGCCCGUCAUCGCAACCGAGUUAUGCAGGUGAGAAGCUCGUUUGGGAAAAUCAUUUGUAUGACAAGGUAGCGCAAGUCGACACAAGGU
rnacentral:rRNA from 1 species